CAUUGUGAUGUUAUCUCAAAUGGUCUAUCUGUUUAAAGUCACAGAUUGGCCUGGUACAUCACAUAGAUCAUUAGAGCAAUUGUUUGCAGAAAUCAUGUCCAGUUCCUUGAUUUUUUUUCCCUGUCAUUGUCUGCUCUUACAGUU